CUGUGGUGGUGACGUGGGGGAGCACACUUGCCGGAAUCUGCUGGAUUGUGAGGUGGGUACGGUUCUCGGCACCUUUUUUUUUUUUUUUGGUACUGGGGACUGAACCCAGGGGGGCUUUGCCCCUGAGCCACAUGCCUGCCCUUUUGUGUUUUUUCAUCUUGAGACAGGCUCUCACUACGUUACUUAGGCCCUUGCUACACUGCCGAGGCUGGCCUUGAACCUGCGACCCUCCUGGACCGCUGGGAUUGCAGCUACUCCACCCUGCUGGGCUCUGUGGUGUAAGUUUCAUCUGAAAGUAAAAGUCGCCACCCAGAUCUGCUUGGCAAGGUCUCCUCUGUCCGGCGAGGACCGCCUCCCCCAAGGGUUCUGCAGGUUCCCAUUUCUCCACUUUCCCGCUCUGCAGGAUGAGCGUCCACCUCGGCCUUCACCACACAGAUGUCCGUGACGUCGAAUUGAAGCCAGAUUUGUUGGGAGUCACUCCAGCUCCAAAGACUGACUUCCCCAUCCCCCCCUCAGAGAGCUGUCCAAUGGUGAGCCCUGCUGACUCACGUGAUCCUUACCCACCAAUCAGAAAGCACCCCGUGCCAACUGUCAAACGGUUAAACUGUUAAACCGUCAUAACUGUCAGUCCACCCCCGGCUCUAUAAAUAUGCAGAGCUGUUCCUCAAUAAAUGGGCAUUUUCUCCGAUGAAGAGCCUUGUUCGUUCUUUCAAGAUUCAUGAAAAUAAAGAAAGACAACAGCUACCAUAUAUUAAGCACCUACUAUGUGCCAAACUGUAUGCUAACAUUUACACACAUUUUAGUCAUAC
rnacentral:lncRNA from 1 species